ACCUUAGAGACCAACUAAGUUUGUUAUUGGUAUGAGCUUUCGUGUAUCUGAAGAAGUGUGCAUGCACACGAAAGCUCAUACCAAUAACAAACUUAGUUGGUCUCUAAGGU